UUAACCUCUUAAACUCUGCGGACCCGGUACCGGGUCCAAAAAUAGCAUGCAAAAUGUUCCUGUUUCAUUUGCAAAGCCUUCCUUAUAUGGUAUCAGCCCAUAUAUGGGUUCAUUUGAAAGUUUAGAGUGUUUUCUUUACAAAGAAUACCAUUAAUUGGGGUUUUAUGAUUCAUAAAGUAGUAAAAUUAAGCUAAGAAAUAUAUUUCCCCCCCACACAAAUUUCCGUCUAACGAUUAGAAAUAUUUUUUCAUAAGAAUGUGUAUUUAAAAUAUUUUUCACAAAACAGUCAAGUCAUAUAUCACAAGAAAGCUCUCAUUCUCAGGAAUCUGACGAUGUAGAUCAUUUUAUUGUGUGACAAUCACAGAUCGAAUGAUCUUCAACAGAAUCGCGAUGUAAAAUUUCUCACCUCAUUGCAAAUUAUUAUUUAUCCAUCUUAGCACCGCUUCAGUCAGCCGCAAACAGCCACACAUACCUAUAUACUCGAUAUAAUCUUUUAGAUUAGAAUCUCUUCUUUCAAACAAGACCAUUUUUACGUUUCUGCGUGCUUCCAUUGGUGAGAUAUAAAGCGUUAUGCCCAGACGCGCUCAAAGAGAAAGACGGACUUUUUGAGACAGAAGCGCUCUUCAUGUCAUAAGACAAGCCUAAGCGGCUUUCUUCUGAUAUAUCGAUCGGAUCUCUUUUGUGAACCACUAUUUGUCCCUUCAGCUGUCAGUCUGAGCUGUGUGCUCCACUCAGAGCUGCUGAAUUUGACACCUCUGCGUCAACAGCGGGGGGAUGGAGUGGACAGUGAUGACCACAUCCUCCUCAGCCGGUGAAGCGCUGGCUGAUGGGAUAUUGAGUCCUGAAGUGUCCGUAAACAAAGAUCACACGCGGAAUAACUCGCGUCGCGGUGAUUAUCAAAUGUAUAAUAAUCAUACUACAAGUUAUGGAUGACCACCGUCGCCGUGGAGAGGACAGGACGCGCAUCUGGUCGUGUACAAGCUUCGGGCAGCGGAUAAGCGCUGAUAAUGCGUCAAAACAACAGAAGGGAGGCUGGAAUAUGAAAUAUUACAGAUGAUUGAGACAGACCAAGAUGUCGGAGGGCGAGCGGCCAUUCGAAAACGCACAGGACGACGGCAAUGAUGACGGAGAUGAUGUGCUUAGCAUGGAGGAGGAGCUGUGCUUAAGACUUGACACUAUGAGGGACUUUUUCCUCCAGCAGCUGAAGGCCAUAAGAUACUCGCUGUUUUCAUCUCAGACCAAGGUGCACAAGGAUUUAAAAGCCUUCAAGGAGUCCAUCUUGACGGAGGAGCUGAAUUUCUACAGAGAGAGGCUAGAGGCAAAGGUAACAUCUGACUUCCAGCUGCUGGAGGAAAACUGCAAUUCUGCUAAACGUGAUGUUGUUGAAAUGGUGAAGGCCGUUGGGGAAUCUGUGACCAAGAGGAUGGAUGCGGUGGACAGGAUAUUCCUGGCUUCGAGGAUCACUGCAAUGGAAGCGGAGGUCCGCAACACGGUGCCUUCUUUUGAAGCGAGCACGCCGACACGCCGUGCUCAUGGCCUUUUGAGCAGAGCUGAAGCACUUUCCUCCACCCAGGUGACAGAUGUGGGACAAGACACGGAGAUCUUCCUGGACCUUCAGAGUGUGGCUUCUUCAUCUCCGAUCAGCCCUGGUCAGCGUGCGGUGUUGACCACAGCAACGUCCUUUGAAUCCAGCUCUGACCAGAACCCAGAACGAGAUGAAGCACUUUCCUCCACCCAGGUUUCGGAUGUGGGACGCGACAUGGAGAUCUCCCUGGACCUUCAGAGUUUACCUCUCGCCCAGGCCGGUUCCUCGGGACUUCAGAGACAGCCCCCCACUAUGCACAAGCGCAAGCUGGCCCAGUCUCCAGACGAUCUGGAACCUGAACUUUCUGCCAAAAUAAGGCCCUACAUGAGACUGAGGCACACACGACAAGAGAAACUUACAGGACUCCAGGCUGCAUUCUUCAAUCUCCAAAUGGACAGGCUGAACAUUAAUGACACCAAGAGCCUCGCAGACAAGGCAGAAGUCAUAAAAGGAGCUGGUGAGAGACCAAGACCAAGAAUCAAGGAUCUUCAGGCGUACCUCGAAGAGAGAAUCAAGACUACUUUGAAGAGGAGAAGUAGUGAGCUUCUUGUGGAGAAAAUAAAAAAAUAAAUAAACGAACGUUACUAAAGCUAGUGUCCGAGCGUCAAUAACACGUAACACCCUGACAUUUUAGUACUGAAGUUUUCAUUUAUGAGUACAUUUACAUAAUAUACAUAAUUUUUGCACACUAAUAAGUGUUUGUCGUUGUUGUUGUUAAGUAUUGUAUUUUA
ensembl:lncRNA